CCAAGGAGUCUAACACGUGCGCGAGUCGUAGGGUUUCCCCUCGAAGCCCGAAGGCGCAAUGAAAGUGAACCGUAGGCGGGAUCCCCUUACUAAUCUCCUGCGGGAGUCGGGGCGCACCGCCGGCCCGUCUCGUUCGGUCGGCUCGUUCUUCCUUUUUUUUUUUUUUUUUUCCGAUCCCUUUCGCGGGGGACCGGUAUAUAAAAAAAAAAAAAAAACAGGGCUUGUCGGCGGAGGCGGAGCGAGAGCGUACACGUUAGGACCCGAAAGACGGUGAACUAUUCCCGGACAGGACGAAGCCGGAGGAAACUCCGGUGGAGGUCCGCAGCGAUUCUGACGUGCAAAUCGAUCGUCGGAUCCGGGUAUAGGGGCGAAAGACUAAUCGAACCGUCUA
rnacentral:rRNA from 1 species